CUUCCGGCAUGUGGCGAUGAAUCGCUUAUUCAGACAGGGAGAUGAGGUUUCUUAAAUAUGGAUCAAAGUGUUGAAAUUACUCAAUUACAUUUACAAAAUGAAAACGUUACAGCAAGGCGUUUGUGAGAAAAAUGAAUGAAGAAAUUAAAACAACUUUUUCCACAUUGCAUUACAACUACAUAGCUGACGCUGGAUUGCUAAAUUAGUUUAUUUUCAUUGAAGUAGCAUGGCUAGUUAGCUAGUUAGCAAUAGUCUUCUGUCUAGACUCUAGCCUGUAACUAAUGGUUGUUACGUUGUGGAACAGAGCAAUAGUUAUUUCUACUUGUCAUUAGUUUGAGACUAACAUUAGUUAGAAAAUAAUUGUUUACUUUGUGUAUAUUUGUUGUGUAAUUGGUUGGCGUUGCUAGUUAGCAAGCUGAGAUUGAUUUGCUCAAAUUGGCUAAUUUUGCGAUUAACUAGUGUUUUAAUAAGAGAACAGGCUAGCUCCCUGCACAACCUAGAGUAGAGAAUGUGGAAUAAGAUUUGUCUGUUGCAGUGCCCAGACGAGGUGAGAGCAAACUGCUACAGAGAUAAAAGGAAUCUCCGAAUGCCAUGUAGAAUGAGCACCAUGGAUGAAAGGAGGGGGAGGAAAACGGACAGCUUCUUUCUACCACACCUUCACCAAGUCAUACAAUGUUUGCUUCAUGAAUAAUUGUUACAUUUGAAUUCAGCCUUUGUAGUUUGGAAAGUAUAGUGACUAUUAUUGCUUCAAUUUAUUUAUCAAACAAAUGUGGGUUUGGAAAAUUAGGUACUUUUCGCAAAACAAUCCCCUCUUCUUUCUACCACACCUUCACCAAGUCAUACAAUGUUUACUUCAUGAAUAAUUGUUACAUCUGAAAUAGAUACAUUAUUAUUUUAGUAUAUUCUGUUUCUAAUGUUUGUUUUUUAAUGCUGGAUGUGAGUAAUUUAGCAGGUCUAUAGUAAUGAUGUAUUGUUUUGGAACAUGUAACUAUCUAUUCAGUCAAAAUUCACUUAUUUUAUGUUUGCUAAAAUGUUUUGUAGUGUUUGUAAUGAGAAUUAAUGAGCUAUUUUCAAAACAUUGGAUUACCAACUUGAGAGGUGCUGUCUCAGUUUGCAUCACAUUGUCACAUGGACGUGUGUGUGUGUAUAUAUAUACACACUGAACAGAAAUAUAAACGCAACAUGUAAAGUGUUGGUCUCAUGUUUCAAGAGCUGAAAUAAAAGAUCCCAGACAUUUUCCAUA